rnacentral:rRNA from 1 species
AGUGAACGCUGGCGGUAGGCCUAACACAUGCAAGUCGAACGGCAGCACAGUAAGAGCUUGCUCUUACGGGUGGCGAGUGGCGGACGGGUGAGGAAUACAUCGGAAUCUACUUUUUCGUGGGGGAUAACGUAGGGAAACUUACGCUAAUACCGCAUACGACCUACGGGUGAAAGCAGGGGAUCUUCGGACCUUGCGCGAUUGAAUGAGCCGAUGUCGGAUUAGCUAGUUGGCGGGGUAAAGGCCCACCAAGGCGACGAUCCGUAGCUGGUCUGAGAGGAUGAUCAGCCACACUGGAACUGAGACACGGUCCAGACUCCUACGGGAGGCAGCAGUGGGGAAUAUUGGACAGUGGGCGCAAGCCUGAUCCAGCCAUCCCGCGUGGGUGAAGAAGGCCUUCGGGUUGUAAAGCCCUUUUGUUGGGAAAGAAAAGCAGCAGGUUAAUACCCCGCUGUUCUGACGGUACCCAAAGAAUAAGCACCGGCUAACUUCGUG